CUUGCUGGGUUGGAUGAGUGGCGAACGGGUGAGUAACACGUGAGUAACCUGCCCCCCUUCUUUGGGAUAACGGUCGGAAACGGCUGCUAAUACCGGGUAUUCACUGUCCUUCGCAUGGGGGGUGGUGGAAAGGUUUUUUCUGGUGGGGGAUGGGCUCGCGGCCUAUCAGCUUGUUGGUGGGGUGAUGGCUUACCAAGGCUUUGACGGGUAACCGGCCUGAGAGGGUGACCGGUCACAUUGGGACUGAGAUACGGCCCAG
rnacentral:rRNA from 1 species